GUUAUUGGCUUAAGGGAAAGGAAAACAGACCUAUAUAAGUAAAUCCCUCUGCAGGGCACGCUGUCUGACUUCUGAGGCAGAAACGAGGAUGUGGACAGUAUGGUGUAUGGUCUUGUACUUCUUUGGAGCAAGAGCUAAGAUAACCCAAAACCCAAGUCUGGUGCUGAAAGAAGAUGAGAAUGCUACUCUGACAUGCAGUCAAAAUGACAAUCACAAUUAUAUGUACUGGUAUCUGCAGCAGCCAGGGAAGGGGCUGCAAUUGAUCUAUUAUUCAUACGGUACAAAUCAGGAUUAUGAGGGUGAUAUUCCCAUCGGAUACAAGGCAAAGCGGUUAAGCCAAGAAGUCUUCCGUCUAGAUAUUGUACCUGUAANGAAGAACCAUUCUGCUACCUAUUUCUGUGCCUCCAGUUUGGACACAACACUUCAAAGUCACUUGCUUUCUUUACAUAAACCCCUCUCCAGUAUGUACCUCCCCUCAGAAGGGAGUAGCUCUGAGCACAGGACAGUGGUGUGCAGGCCAAUUGGCCAUUCACAAACCAGAGGUUGCUGAGGAGCUGGACCAAGA